AGAGCGAACGCUGGCGGCAGGCCUAACACAUGCAAGUCGAACGGACCCUUCGGGGUUAGUGGCGGACGGGUGAGUAACACGUGGGAACGUGCCUUUUGGUUCGGAAUAGCUCCUGGAAACGGGUGGUAAUGCCGAAUGUGCCCUUCGGGGGAAAGAUUUAUCGCCAUUAGAGCGGCCCGCGUCUGAUUAGCUAGUUGGUGAGGUAAAGGCUCACCAAGGCUACGAUCAGUAGCUGGUCUGAGAGGAUGACCAGCCACAUUGGGACUGAGACACGGCCCAAACUCCUACGGGAGCAGCAGUGGGAAUCUUGCGCAAUGGGCGAAAGCCUGACGCAGCCAUGCCGCGUGAAUGAUGAAGGUCUUAGGAUUGUAAAUUCUUUCACCGGGACGAUAAUGACGGUACCGGAGAAGAAGCCCCGGACUAACUUCGUGCCAGCAGCCGC
rnacentral:rRNA from 1 species